UACGUAGGCAGCGAGCGUUGUUCGGAGUUACUGGGCGUAAAGCGUGCGUAGGCGGUGCCUUAAGUUUGUUGUGAAAUCUCCCGGCUUAACCGGGAGGGUGCGGCGAAUACUGAGAUGCUGGAGUGCCGGAGAGGUAAGCGGAAUUCCUGGUGUAGCGGUGAAAUGCGUAGAUAUCAGGAGGAACACCUGCGGUGUAGACGGCUUACUGGACGGUAACUGACGCUGAGGCACGAAAGCGUGGGUAGCAAACAGG
rnacentral:rRNA from 1 species